rnacentral:rRNA from 1 species
AACGGCCGCGGUACCCUAACCGUGCGAAGGUAGCGUAAUCACUUGUUCUUUAAAUGAGGACUAGUAUGAAUGGCACCACGAGGGUUAAACUGUCUCCUUUUUUUAAUCAGUGAAACUAAUCUCCCCGUGAAGAAGCGGGGAUUCUUUUAUAAGACGAGAAGACCCUAUGGAGCUUUAAACAAGUUAACACCUGCUACUAAUCUUCACUUUCCUGAACCACCACAUUAAGUAUAGCACCUCUGAUUAACAGUUUUCGAUUGGGGUGAUCAUGGAGCAAAAAUCAACCUCCACGACGAAAAGGAACACCUCCUUGAGCCAAAAGCUACAACUUUAAGCACUAAAAAACUAACGCACUUUGACCCAAUUCUUUGAGCAACGAACCAAGUUACCCUAGGGAUAACAGCGCAAUCCACUUUAAGAGCUCCUAUCGACAAGUGGGUUUACGACCUCGAUGUUGGAUCAGGGUAUCCCAGUGGUG